ensembl:snRNA U5 U5 spliceosomal RNA
AUACUCUGGUUUCUCUUCAGAUCGUACAAAUCUUUCGCCUUUUACUAAAGAUUUCCGUGGAGAGGAACAACUCUGAGUCUUGACCAAAUUUUUCUAAAGCCUUGCAGAUAGCAAGGUU